rnacentral:rRNA from 1 species
UACGGAGGGAGCUAGCGUUGUUCGGAUAUACUGGGCGUAAAGCGCACGUAGGCGGCGUCGUAAGUCAGGGGGUGAAAUCCCGGAGCUCAACUCCGGAACUGCCCUUGAAAUUGCAAUGCUAGAAUCUUGGAGAGGCGAGUGGAAUUCCGAGUGUAGAGGUGAAAUUCGUAGAUAUUCGGAAGAACACCAGUGGCGAAGGCGACUCGCUGGACAAGUAUUGACGCUGAGGUGCGAAAGCGUGGGGAGCAAACAGG